GCAGGGCGGCAGGCUACCAUGCAAGUCGAGCGGUAACAGAUCCAGCUUGCUGGAUGCUGACGAGCGGCGGACGGGUGAGUAAUGCAUAGGAAUCUGCCCGAUAGUGGGGGAUAACCUGGGGAAACCCAGGCUAAUACCGCAUACGUCCUACGGGAGAAAGGGGGCUUCGGCUCCCGCUAUCGGAUGAGCCUAUGUCGGAUUAGCUAGUUGGUGAGGUAACGGCUCACCAAGGCCACGAUCCGUAGCUGGUCUGAGAGGAUGAUCAGCCACAUCGGGACUGAGACACGGCCCGAACUCCUACGGGAGGCAGCAGUGGGGAAUAUUGGACAAUGGGGGGAACCCUGAUCCAGCCAUGCCGCGUGUGUGAAGAAGGCCCUCGGGUUGUAAAGCACUUUCAGCGAGGAAGAACGCCUAGCGGUUAAUACCCGCUAGGAAAGACAUCACUCGCAGAAGAAGCACCGGCUAACUCCGUGCCAGCAGCCGCGGUAAUACGGAGGGUGCAAGCGUUAAUCGGAAUUACUGGGCGUAAAGCGCGCGUAGGUGGCUUGAUAAGCCGGUUGUGAAAGCCCCGGGCUCAACCUGGGAACGGCAUCCGGAACUGUCAAGCUAGAGUGCAGGAGAGGAAGGUAGAAUUCCCGGUGUAGCGGUGAAAUGCGUAGAGAUCGGGAGGAAUACCAGUGGCGAAGGCGGCCUUCUGGACUGACACUGACACUGAGGUGCGAAAGCGUGGGUAGCAAACAGGAUUAGAUACC
rnacentral:rRNA from 1 species